AACGGUCCUAUGGUAGCGAAAUACCUUGUCGGGUAAGUUCCGACGCGCAUGAAAGGUGUAACGACCUGAGCGCUGUCUCGACGAGAGAUCCGGUGAAAUAGCAAUACCCGUGCAGAUGCGGGUUACUUGCAGCAGGACGGUAAGACCCCGUGGAGCUUUACUAUAACUUGGCAUUGGAUUCUAGCACAUUAUGUAUAGGAUAGGUGGGAGACUAUGAAGCAGGAGCGCCAGUUCCUGUGGAGUCGUCCUUGGAAUACCACCCUUAAUGUGUUUGAAUUCUAACACUUAACCUUAAUCAGGUAAGUGGACAUUGUCAGGCGGGUAGUUUGACUGGGGCGGUCGCCUCCUAAAAGGUAACGGAGGCGCCCAAAGGUACCCUCAACGCGUUUGGAAAUCGCGUGAAGAGUGCAAAGGCAUAAGGGUGCUUUACUGCAUAGACCGACAGGUCGAACAGUCACGAAAGUGGGGCUUAGUGAUCCGGUGGUUGCGUGUGGAAGCGCCAUCGCUCAACGAAUAAAAGUUACCCCGGGGAUAACAGGCUAAUCUAUCCUGAGAGUCCAUAUCGACGGGUAGGAUUGGCACCUCGAUGUCGGCUCAUCGCAUCCUGGGGCUGGAGAAGGUCCCAAGGGUUGGGCUGUUCGCCCAUUAAAGCGGUACGCGAGCUGGGUUCAGAACGUCGUGAGACAGUUCGGACCUAAUCCGCUGCAAGCGCUGGAGAUUUGAGGAGGUAGACCCUUAGUACGAGAGGACCAGGGUGUGGAAACCUCUGGUGUACCGGCUGUUCCGCCAGGAGCAUGCGCCGGAUAGCUAUGUUUCUAUGGGAUAAGCGCUGAAAGCAUCUAAGUGCGAAGCCCACUCCAAGAUUAGAUCUCCCAUCCUCUGCAAAGAGGAGUAAGGUCCCUAGUAGACAACUAGGUUGAUAGGCUCAAGGUGUAAGUGUGGUGACAUAUUUAGCUGAUGAGUACUAAUAGACCGAGGACUUGACUUA
rnacentral:rRNA from 1 species